GACGAACGCUGGCGGCGUGCUUAACACAUGCAAGUCGAACGGAAAGGCCCUGCUUUUGUGGGGUGCUCGAGUGGCGAACGGGUGAGUAACACGUGAGUAACCUGCCCUUGACUUUGGGAUAACUUCAGGAAACUGGGGCUCAUACCGGAUAGGAGCUCCUGCUGCAUGGUGGGGGUUGGAAAGUUUCGGCGGUUGGGGAUGGACUCGCGGCUUAUCAGCUUGUUGGUGGGGUAGUGGCUUACCAAGGCUUUGACGGGUAGCCUGCCUGAGAGGGUGACCGGCCACAUUGGGACUGAGAUACGGCCCAGACUCCUACGGGAGGCAGCAGUGGAGAAUAUUGCACAAUGGGCGGAAGCCUGAUGCAGCAACGCCGCGUGCGGGAUGACGUCCUUCGGGUUGGAAACCGCUGUCGCCUGUGACGAAGCGUUAGUGACGGUAAUGGGUAAAGAAGCACCGGCUAACUACGUG
rnacentral:rRNA from 1 species